GAUGAACGCUGGCGGCGUGCCUAAUACAUGCAAGUCGAGCGAACGGACGAGGAGCUUGCUCCUCUGACGUUAGCGGCGGACGGGUGAGUAACACGUGGAUAACCUACCUAUAAGACUGGGAUAACUUCGGGAAACCGGAUCUAAUACCGGAUAAUAUAUUGAACCGCAUGGUUCAAUAGUGAAAGACGGUUUUGCUGUCACUUAUAGAUGGAUCCGCGCCGCAUUAGCUAGUUGGUAAGGUAACGGCUUACCAAGGCAACGAUGCGUAGCCGACCUGAGAGGGUGAUCGGCCACACUGGAACUGAGACACGGUCCAGACUCCUACGGGAGGCAGCAGUAGGGAAUAUUCCGCAAUGGGCGAAAGCCUGACGGAGCAACGCCGCGUGAGUGAUGAAGGUCUUCGGAUCGUAAAACUCUGUUAUUAGGGAAGAACAAAUGUGUAAGUAACUAUGCACGUCUUGACGGUACCUAAUCAGAAAGCCACGGCUAACUACGUG
rnacentral:rRNA from 1 species